AGACACUGACCUAUUGCUAUUGCACCUGUUAUGAUAACGUGGAUGGAUGUACCCACAGAGACUGAUCCCAGGUCAGAUUACACAUUUUACCACCUAAUGGGUAGGGUUAGGAUCUGGGGAGGGCAAGCUGAUCCCAAGUCAGAUUGUUGGUAUAUACACCCGGACUGUCGUCCCAGAGCUCUCCUAGUUGUCAUCCUGCCCCUCUGACCAGGGACUGAUUCAGACCUGGGACACCAGAUCUCAUAAUAAUAUGAUAAUAUUCACCGUUCUGUCAGAACCUGGAGGGCUGGAAAGGGAAAAGAAUCAGGGUCGUGCAUCCCAAAUGACACCCCUACGUAGUGCACUACUUUUGACCAGGGCCCAAUGGGGCAACAGUGCACUAUAUAGGGAAUAGGUUGCUUAGUGACACCCAAUGAGGUCGUUCCAAAGGCAAACCCUUUUCUGACACACCUUCCUGUUUCUGUCUGUAUUCUACCUGGACUUGUUUCAAUGCCUUUUAAAACAAAAUCACCUCUUCAAAUGCAUUUCAUACACAAUAGAAAUAUAUAGUCUUUGUUUUCUAAAGACAAGACGCAUCAUUUCUCUCAUCGUAUUACCACCGCAAACAAUUCAGUCAUUAUCUUGGUUAGUUUCCAUUGUAUCUCCCAGCAAACAAUUCAGUCAUUAUCUUGGUUAGUUUCCAUUGUAUCUCCCAGCAAACAAUUCAGUCAUUAUCUUGGUUAGUUUCUACUGUAUCUCCCAGCAAACAAUUCAUUAUCUUGGUUAGUUUCCAUUGUAUCUCCCAGCAAACAAUUCAGUCAUUAUCUUGGUUAGAUUCCAUUGUAUCUCCCAGCAAACAAUUCAGUCAUUAUCUUGGUUAGUUUCUACUGUAUCUCCCAGCAAACAAUUCAUUAUCUUGGUUAGUUUCCAUUGUAUCUCCCAGCAAACAAUUCAGUCAUUAUCUUGGUUAGAUUCCAUUGUAUCUCCCAGCAAACAAUUCAGUCAUUAUCUUGGUUAGUUUCUACUGUAUCUCCCAGCAAACAAUUCAUUAUCUUGGUUAGUUUCCAUUGUAUCUCCCAGCAAACAAUUCAGUCAUUAUCUUGGUUAGAUUCCAUUGUAUCUCCCAGCAAACAAUUCAGUCAUUAUCUUGGUUAGUUUCUACUGUAUCUCCCAGCAAACAAUUCAGUCAUUAUCUUGGUUAGUUUCUACUGUAUCUCCCAGCAAACAAUUGAGUCAUUAUCUUGGUUAGAUUCCAUUGUAUCUCCCAGCAAACAAUUCAGUCAUUAUCUUGGUUAGUUUCUACUGUAUCUCCCAGCAAACAAUUCAGUCAUUAUCUUGGUUAGUUUCUACUGUAUCUCCCAGCAAACAAUUCAGUCAUUAUCUUGGUUAGUUUCUACUGUAUCUCCCAGCAAACAAUUCA